rnacentral:rRNA from 1 species
UACAGAGGUCACAAGCGUUGUUCGGAAUCACUGGGCGUAAAGGGUGCGUAGGCCGCACGGUAAGUCAGAGGUGAAAUCCCGGAGCUCAACUUCGGAAUUGCCUCCGAUACUGCCGUGCUUGAGGACUGGAGAGGAGAUUGGAAUUCACAGUGGAGCAGUGAAAUGCGUAGAUAUUGUGAGGAACACUAGUGGCGAAGGCGAAUCUCUGGACAGUUCCUGACGCUGAGGCACGAAGGCCAGGGGAGCAAACGGG